rnacentral:rRNA from 1 species
AACGAACGCUGGCGGCAUGCCUAACACAUGCAAGUCGAACGAGACCUUCGGGUCUAGUGGCGCACGGGUGCGUAACGCGUGGGAACCUGCCCUUAGGUUCGGAAUAACUCCCCGAAAGGGGUGCUAAUACCGGAUAAUGUCUUCGGACCAAAGAUUUAUCGCCUUUGGAUGGGCCCGCGUUGGAUUAGCUAGUUGGUAGGGUAAAAGCCUACCAAGGCGACGAUCCAUAGCUGGUCUGAGAGGAUGAUCAGCCACACUGGGACUGAGACACGGCCCAGACUCCUACGGGAGGCAGCAGUGGGGAAUAUUGGACAGUGGGCGAAAGCAUGAUCCAGCAAUGCCGCGUGAGUGAUGAAGGCCUUAGGGUUGUAAAGCUCUUUUACCCGUGAUGAUAAUGACAGUACCGGGAGAAUAAGCCCCGGCUAACUCCGUG